rnacentral:rRNA from 1 species
UCAAUGGCCUAACGGCUGAACCAGCAACUUGCAGGAAUGAGAGUUAAUAUAAAAGAUUUAUUAACUUGCUUGACUAGGUCUUAUAAAGUUCUGGAUAAAGCUGAUAAUGACAACUUUAUAUCCAUAGGUCUCGACUAAAUCUUGUGCCAGCAGUCGCGGUAAGACAAGGGAGACAAGUGUUAUUCAUCUUGAACAGGUAUAUUGGGUACCUAGACUGUGAAUUAAGGCUUAGACAGUACCUUAUACACUAGAGUUUAAUAUGUGAGAGGUAGAUGUCAGAAUUAUUAGAGGAGAGAUGAAAUCCUUUUAUACUAAUAGGACUGAUUAUGGCGAAGGCAAACCUUUAUGUAUAUAUAUACUAUUUAGUUUACUUUUAAGAGAAGUUAUUUAUAGCCUUUUUUGGCUAUAAAGCUAAAUAGUACUAAACUGACGUUGAGGGACGAAGGCUCAGAGAGUGAAGAGGAUUAGAUACCCCCGUAGCCUGGGCAGACAAUGAUGAGUGCCAUAGGUUGGCUUUUAGUUGAACUAUAAAUGAAAGUGGAAGCACUCCACCUCAAGAGUAAUGUGGCAACGCAGGAACUGAAAUCAUUAGACCGUUUCUGAAACCAGUAGUGAAGUAUGUUAUUUAAUUCGAUGAUCCGCGAAUAACCUUACCACAAUUUGAAUGAUCUAGAUUAAAUCGAGUAAAGGAUAUGCCCAUGCUAAGACAUUGUAUGAUUUAGCAGGGUAUAGUUGUAUUUAUUUGAAAAUAUCCCUCAAUAGUACGCUCAUGCUAAUACAUUAUAUGUGUUAGUGGAGUUAAAGUUAUAUUUUUUUUAUAUAGCGGAGCAUAGUGUUAGGGAUAUUGUUUAGACCACAUGCGUUGCAUGGCUGUCUUCAGUUAAUGUCGUGAGAUUUGGUUAGGUCCAUUAAAUUAACGUAAACCCUUGUUUUAUUUAAUACAAUAAG